ACCUGGGCUGGGUUGUUGCGCAUUCUGCAAAGAGCAGCUGGCCGCAGCACCCGCUCCAGCGCCAUCCCACCGACGUCCUGGACCCCCGGCCCGCUCGAUCCUCCGCGGGAGCCCCCUGUGUGGGGGAGAAAAAAGAAAAAGACAGCCUUCGUAACAAAUAUGCUAACAAAUAUGCCGUCAAGGGUGACAAACCCUCACUUCAGCUGUGUCAGAAAAUGUGACGCAUUCUGCAUCUAGAUUUCCGCAGCUGUCAAGAUGUGGGCCGCUGUGCUUCAUCUACAGUCUUCAAGGAUCUAAAUUGGUUCACUGCAUUGAUCAGUGUCGUGAAGCCUUUCACAAGGGUAAACGUCACCUCUUUUAGACUCACUGAACUGAAUACGCAGCUAAUAUAGCUUCAUAAUGAGGCCAGCCAGGAACCUGGAGCAUUUCAUCAUAUGGUUGCUGAUUGCUGCGAUUUCUUCCUUUGAAGCCCACCUCUUUGUAGCCUUUGACCAUUUAUCUAUUGGAUUAAAAUUCUGAAAAUUUCUCUAAUGACAGAGAAGGACACUUACCUGGACCUCAGAAUCCCAGGGGGUUCCAUACCAAGAAUUCUUCCCAUCAUCGCAUCAGAUUUAUUUAUUUAGGCUGUGAUGCAAUGAACAUUAAAACAACCCUUGGUGUCGUAGAUGAGAUGGAAAAUGCACACCAGCCUCCUCAAUUAGGAUGAUCUUUGAAGCCAGCAGGAUUUUUCAUCAUUAUUUUUUCAUUGGCAUGUUUAUUAUGACCUAUGCAUCUCAAUAAUGUUGGCAGAACAGUCUAUUUCUUUCGUUCCAUUCUGUGCACCUGGUCUUGGCAGGAGGUAAGGAAUUAUAGAAGACCACUGUCUAAAACUAUGCUAUGUUACAAUUCAACCUCCCUAGGACAAUGCUAUCUUGUCAUUUAACUCUCACUUACUUACAAUGCUCCUUUUGAUACAAUUUAGUAGUAUCACCCACUUAGAGAAUUCAGAUCUUUCCAAGAACCAUACUGACUUAUGAUUGUACAGUUCUCAGGUCUUCAUAUAACUAAUAUGGGCAGCGCAGCACUGAAACUAACAAAAUAAUAAUAUUAUGAUAGGAUGAAUUAGAAACUUUAGAACAAAAUUUACAUCCAGCAAAUAGUCUUAAGAUAAACCUUUUGCUAACACCCCAGUGUAUUUCAGAUGCUGGAUAAUAUUAAGGCUUUGGGCAAACACUUGUGGGCAAUAAAUGUGUUUUUUAAAAUAAAUAUAGUUUCUCUGAGUCCACUUAAAUCACAGGACUCAAAUUCUGUUGUGUUGGGUUAAGCUUUUCCUUCAUAAUAGCUAAUAAUAUACUAACAGUGAAUAUUAAUGUAGCACUUACUAUAUGCCAAGGACUAGAGAGGGAGAGCAGGGACAAAGAAGAGGGAGAGGGCAGGAGAUGGAAGGGGAUUGGAGAGCGAAAGGAAGAGAAAGAUAGACAGAUGGAGAAAGAGAGGUAAAAAGAGAAGAUGAGAGAGAAAUACAGGAGAAUUGAGAGGAAGGGGAUUUGGAUAGAUAGGGGAGAUCAGAGGAAGGAGAGAGAAGGAUGGAGCUGGAGAGAGAAAGAUAAACAGACAUAAGGAUGGAAAGGGAAAGGGAGAGAGAAGGAUGGAGGAAGAGGGAAAGGGAAAGAAACAGUGGGGACAGUGACUGAUAAAAUGAUGGAGAGGAAGACAGAGACAGAGGAAAGGAUGAACAUGGAGAAGGAAAAAGAGGAGAGAAUGAAAAGUGUAUAAAGGGAAGGAGAUAAUGAGAGAGGGAGACAGAGAGGGAGAGGGAAGGAAAAGUGUGACAGGUAAACAGAGAAGAGUCACACAGGAAAAGGGAGAAAAAGGGAGACAAGGGACAGGUAGAGAGACAGAAGAGAGAAAAACAUGCUGAAGGAGAGACAUACAUUAAGAAGAAUGGAGAACAUAAUAACAGAGAGAGAAAAGAGAUACAGAGAAAAUGAAAAAGAGACAGUAGAGAGGGAGGAGGAAGGAAAAAGGGAGGGAGUACAGGAAGAGUGAGUCAGAUCAAAGGUUGGAGAGAGAUAAUAAGGUACAGGAAGAAAGAAUGAGACAGGUAAAUAGUAAGAGAAAAACAUAGAGGGGAAGGGAAAGAGAAAAAAGAAAAAGAGAAACAAAUAAAGAGGUAGUUAGGAGAGAGAACAAGAUAGAGAGCAAUAGACAUAGACAGGAUAGAGAGAUUGAACAAAAAGGUAGAUGAAAGAGGGAGAGCAUGAGAGAAGGAUGGACACUUAUAGACAGCAACAGGAGAGAAAUACAGAGUGAAGAUAGAGAAUGGAGGGAGGAGCGGGGAGAGAAAAAGAGUGAGAAAAGGGGGAGGGAAAGAUGUAGAAGAAUGGACAGACAGGUGAGAGGCGCAGAGUGAGGUUGGGGAGAGAAAGAGGAGAGAGUGACAGAGACAGAGAGACAGAUACGGGGAGAGAAAAUAUAUCAAGAAUGAGAUGGGUAGAAAGAGAGCAAUAGCAGGAGGAGAGAGAGUGAAGGGAAAUACAGGAAAGAAAGUGAGGUAAGGAUGGAGACAGGAAGAAAGAAAGAAGGAUAAAAAAGGAAGGAGGGAGAGAUAAGAAGAAUGCACAGGGCAAUCAGGCUGGAGAGAAGAGAGACAGACAGAGAAGAAACAGACUGAUGGGGGGAGGAGAAAGGGAAGUCAAGGCAGAGAGCCAAGGAGAGAAGGGGAAAGGGACAGAGAGAAAAGAGAAAUGCAGGGGGAGACAGAGAUCCAAAGACAUUGAGAAGGAUGGAAGGGGAAAGAACAACAGAGACAAAGAGAGAGAUGCAGAGAGAAAGAGAGAGAAGGAGUUAGGAAGGGAGAGGGGAAAAGAAAUUUAUAUAGAGAGAGGGAAGGAUGGAGGAAGAGACAGGACAGAAAGAUAGACAUUGGGAGAGAGACAGCAGAAAGGAAAGGAAAGGAAAGGGAAGUGGAGAGAGAGAGAGAGAGAGAGAGAGAGAGAGAGAGAGAGAGAGAGAAUAAGUUGAGGGGAGGACAUGACAGGGAAAAGAGGAAAAAGAAG